rnacentral:rRNA from 1 species
AGAGUUUGAUCCUGGCUCAGGAUGAACGCUAGCGGUGUGCCUAAUGCAUGCAAGUCGAACGGGAGCCUUGGAUUCGUCUGAGGUGAGAGUGGCGAACGGGUGAGUAACACGUAGGUGACCUGCCCUAGAGAGGGGGACAACCAGUGGAAACGCUGGCUAAUACCCCGGAUGUCAAUGAGAUUAGAAGGCAUUGACUAAAGUAGCGGAUAAAACUGCUGCGCUCUGGGAGGGGCCUGCGACCCAUCAGCUAGUUGGUAGGGUAACGGCCUACCAAGGCAGAGACGGGUAGGGGGCGUGAGAGCGUGGCCCCCCACACUGGUACUGACACACGGACCAGAUACCUACGGGUAGCGGCAGCAAGGAAUAUUCCGCAAUGGGCGAAAGCCUGACGGAGCGACGCCGCGUGGUUGAUGAAGUCCCUUUGGGACGUAAAAACCUUUUAUCGGGGAGAAAGUUUAUUGAUAGUACCCGAAGAAUAAGGGGCCUCUAAACUCGUGCCAGCAGAGGCGGUAAUACGAGUGCCCCAAGCGUUAUCCGGAAUUACUGGGCGUAAAGGGUGUGUAGGCGGUUCUAUUAGUCCCCUGUUAAAUUCCUCGGCUUAACCGAGGGCCCGCGGGGGAAACGGUAGAACUGGAGGAUGUGAGAGGUCUAUGGGACUCAUGGUGUAGGGGUGAAAUCCGUUGAUAUCAUGGGGAACACCAAAAGCGAAGGCAAUAGACUGGCGCAUUCCUGACGCUGAGACACGAAAGCGUGGGUAGCGAACGGGAUUAGAUACCCCGGUAGUCCACGCCCUAAACGAUCUUGACUAGCUUUUCGGAGUAUCGACCCUCUGAGAGGCGAAGCUAACGCGUUAAGUUUACCGCCUGGGGACUACGAUCGCAAGAUUAAAACUCAAAGGAAUUGACGGGGGCCCGCACAAGCAGCGGAGCGUGUGGUUUAAUUCGAUGCUACACGAAGAACCUUACCCGGGUUUGACAUGCAAGUGGUAGUGAUCUGAAAGGUGAACGACCCGCAAGGGAGCUUGCACAGGUGUUGCAUGGCUGUCGUCAGCUCGUGUCGUGAGAUGUUCGGUUAAGUCCGCUAACGAGCGCAACCCUCGCUGUAUGUUACAUGUGUCAUACAGGACCGCCGGUAUCAAGCCGGAGGAAGGUGGGGAUGACGUCAAGUCCGCAUGGCCUUUAUGUCCGGGGCUACACACACGCUACAAUGGGCAGUACAGUGGGUUGCUAAGCCGCGAGGUGGAGCCAAUCCCCCAAAGCUGUCCUCAGUUCAGAUUGCAGGCUGCAACCCGCCUGCAUGAAGAUGGAGUUGCUAGUAACCGCGCGUCAGCAACAGUGCGGUGAAUACGUUCCCGGGUCUUGUACACACCGCCCGUCACGUCAUGGGAGUUGGCAACGCCUGAAGUCGGUGGGCUAACGGCGCGAAGCGCUGAGGCAGCCGCCUAAGGCGGGGUCGGUAACUGGGACGAAGUCGUAACAAGGUAACC